GCCCGCGUGGCUAAGAGGCACAGCGUCUGUCUUGUAAACAGAAGAUCAUCGGUUCGAUUCCGAUCGUGGGCA
rnacentral:tRNA from 2 species